UGAGAGAAAAUUAUUGUCAGGAGAAC
rnacentral:piRNA from 2 species